UUGGAUAAUUGGGAUGGGGGCCUCUGAGAGGUAGUCAUCCAACUGUUGAGCUCGUCACCGGCCUGCCAUUUUAGAGGUUUGAGAGAAGGAUUUGAGAUUUAAUUUAAGAUGGGGACAUUGCAUCAUGUAUAUUAACAUUAUUAGUUUGACUAAAUCAAUAAAGCAUUUGACAGGUCAAAAAUGUACAAGUACAAAAUAAAGGGCAUAUUCCAUAGCACAUACAGUACUAAAUAUUAAUAAAUAUCACAGACACAUUCAGUAGCAAACAGUAAUAAUAACAAAGUCAGAACAAAGUAGCUUACCUAGUUUCAGUGAUAUUCUCUCCCAGAAUCUCGCUGAACAUAUCAGACAACAAGAGUGGUUUUGUCUCCUCCUCCUCUUCUGCAAUAGACAGACGAGGCCUCUUUGCUGCACUCUGUUUUGGGUUCCCUGUGUUGUUAGUGUCACUGUGUGCCCCAUCUCCCAUGGUUUGUGUCUCUUCUCCCAUCCUCUGAGUUCAUGUCGCGUCUCCCGUGCUGUGGACAGCAGCCUCCUGUGGGUUUUACUUGUCCAAAACAGCCUAGAUCAUGUCACGUGCCCUCCGCUUUUCCCCCUUAUUAAAAUAAAAACAUUUGUAUCGCGGGUCAAGUUCAGUCGCGAUGCAGUAUCAGAGUAAAUGUUCUCAAAACGUUUGUUGACAGACUCCGAGAGUGCACUUUUCAUAGCUAUUACUCCGUGGUCCGUUUCAACCUCCUAUCUUAGUAGAUGCUUUAGAGCCUCAAAUUGGGAAUAACGUCUGCCACCAAUGCCUCAGAUGAGCUGAUAGUUUUAGUCAUCUCUUCAAAUGGAUGGAGAAUGGAGAUAAUGUUCUCAAUUAACACCUCAAUUAACAUGUGUACUCACAUCUUGUUGGAAACGUUUAAUUGGUGCUCCAAGCUCAUCUUGUAUUUUCUGCAAGUGACUAUAGGCCAGUUGAGAAUGCUUGAAGUGACCAACAAUUUUUCUGGCUAUAGCCAACAAAUCUUUUACGCUAAAUAUUUUCUGCCAGGCAACGUAUAACGGGGUUCAAGCUUAAUCAUUUGUAUAGCCUUGUUAACCAUUAGGUAGUUAUACUGUUAGUUAAUAAUCUGAAUGUUGGUUUGUAGAAUCCAUUAUUUACCGUUAUGAAGUUAAUUUACAUGUGUUUACCCUUGUGUUGUUCCCAGUUCAUAUGUGUAACUAUCUGUUUCAUGUCAGAGCAAUUUAACAUGAUCAAUGUUCUGUUAAAAGUGAUACUCAAAACAUAAUGAGAAUAUUUGUUAAUGUGAUUCUACAAUUCUUUAUAUGUAUUUAGCAUCAAUACCUUUAUUAUGAACCAAGCAUUCCUUAACAUUAAUCAUAGUGAGUGAGUGAGUAUUUGAUCUGACUCCUUUACUAGCCAAAUUUUAAGUUGGAUCAAACAGUCAGGGACCUUGAAAGUCUCCUCUCAGGAAACUGCAGCUGAGGAUCAGGACCCCCUCCUUUACCUUAGAGACACUCCCGGUUUGAAAAGUAUAAAACCAGUAAAGUUGGGAUGCUCACUCUCUUGCCUCUUUUCUUCUUUGCCUUUUACCUACACUCUUGUUUUUCCUCGUUUUUUUUUUUUUCUUGUCUCUUUGUUUCUGCUUUGUUCCCUCUAAGCUGGUUUUCUCUGUCUUAUUUUUUUUUCUAAAUUUUUUUAAGUUUUCCACCACGUGUUCUUUCACAUUGAUUUUUCUUUAUCGUCUUCGUUCAAGUUGUGAAACUUCAACUGGUAAUGGAGCCUCUUUUCUUGGUUAUCUGCGUGAUUGCCAAGUCACCUCUGAAUGCCACCCAGCAGGCCCAAAGUCAUCCUCUGAGCCAGAGUGUUGCAGUGAGACCAAAGGAGCAUCUAAAGAA